GAUGAACGCUGGCGGCGUGCCUAAUACAUGCAAGUCGAGCGAACGGACGAGAAGUUUGCUUCUCUGAUGUUAGCGGCGGGCGGGUGAGUAACAUGUGGAUAACCCACGUAUAAGACUGGGAUAACUUCGGGAAAGCGUAGCUAAUACCGGCGAAUAUCUUGAACAGCAUGGUUAAAAAGUGAAAUACGGUCAUGCUGUCACCUAUAGAUGGAUCCGCGCUGCAUUAGGAGGUAGGUAAGGUAACGGCUAACCAAGUGACUGAUGGAUAGCGGACCUGAGAGAGUGCUCGGCCACAUUGGACCUGAGAAACGGCCCAGACUCCUACGGAAGGCGGCAGUAGGAAAUUUUGCGAAAUGGCGGAAAGCCUGACCAGCAAACGCCGGGUGAGUAAUGAAGGUCUUCGGAUCGAAAACCUCUGUUAUAGGAAAGAACAUCUUUGUACGAAACUGUGCACAGCUUGACGGUACCGAAUCAGAAAGCCACGGCUAACUACGUG
rnacentral:rRNA from 1 species